ACAGGGACCCCUUUCUUAGGCUGAAAUUAAAGACUCAAGGAAACAGUGAGAACUAGAGGCUAGAGCAGAUGGCAGGAAUGUGACCACUGGGAUAAAUUAAGGGUUUACAAAAAGAUGCUCUGGUCAGUGUAGCUCCAAGACCUUGUGGCCAAGGCCAUCAGCAUGUCAAUCUUGUCUUAGUAAACUGUACAUGUACAAGUAAGGGUGGCAGCAUGAAAGGUACCACUCUGCUGCACACAGUAACGAGCCUGAUCUGAACACACAGAGCCCUCACGAGAUGGUGGCACCAAUGGCAAGGCCAAGACUGACAGUGCCUCUGGCCAGCCUUCUGCUUCUAGUUUAGAGGAAUUUCCCAACCUCCUACUGAGGAAGAAGAUCACAUCCCAAGGACAUAUUGCAAGUAUUUUACUGCUGCACGCUAGGCCUGCUCAUUGAUCCAAGAGGCAUCUAGAAUACCUGCUAUAGCAAAAGACUGAUUGACAAGAGAAAAACGUACAAAUUUAGUGAGUGUCUCCUCCAAGCCAGAACUCUGAG
rnacentral:lncRNA from 1 species